rnacentral:lncRNA from 1 species
ACAGCUGACCCUAGCCUCCACCCUCACUGUCACUCUGCUCUUUGGCUCUGACCCUCCUGCCACCCCUUGUGAAUAUUCAGGUGCCAGGGCCCUCUCCAUCUCAACAUCUCUACUCACCCUGCAAAGCCCCUUGAGCCACAGGAGGUCACAUGUCCACAGCUUCCAGGGACAAGGGUGUGGACAUUUUGGGGGAGCCAUGAUGCUGCCUCCCACAUCUCCAUACGAACAUAUCACGGCCCAGACAGAUUCUCCUGCAGCCUGGGGCCUGGAAUGCAAAGGCCACUGGAGCCAAAUCAGCUGAACGGAGCUGAGCCAGCAGAGCCGCAGGCAGCAGCCACCCUGUGAGCAGCUGGGAACCACUGAGAAGUGGAGAUGUUUGUCAUAGCAGCAGCAGCUGGCAGAUACUUGCUAUCCACACACCCUGGGCACACAUGGGCACCAAGGCUGGGGGCGACAGAACUUUACACUGUGGGAUUCUCUCCUGACAGCCAAGAAGGGGGUUUUCCCUUCUACCAUGAAGAACUUCCCCGGAGGUCUCCCCACAUCUAAUAAUUAGGAAGAUAACGUGGUCAUCAACAAUAAAAGCUGCCCAGGCAGGCGCCUGCA